rnacentral:lncRNA from 1 species
UUUUAUUAAGUUAAUAAUAUUAUUUUAUUAAUUUAAUUAAAUAAAAUGGAAUUAUUGGAUUAUUUUUAUUAUUAUUAUUAUUGGAAUAAUAAUUAUUGGAAGGUAUAUAUAUAAGUUGGAAUAAGAGAAAAAGUUCUAUUUUCUGUUUGGAAAAAGGGUUUUACGUGAAAGUGGAAAAGCUGCAGAGAAGAGGAAAAGAACUGUAGAGCGAAGGUUGAGGAACGGAAAAGCUGAAGCUUAGAGAUUGCUCAGAACUUCCUUCAAUCCAAAGAGGUAAGGGGUCUGAACCUUAUUAAAUGAUAAUAUGCGAGCAAUUUCGUGAUCUGUGGUAGAUUGUUGAUUGAUUUUGGGGAUUUUAGGGAGAUUGGGAAAGUUGGGGUUUAUCGUCGUUUAGCACUACGAUGAAUAAGUCGAAUUAAGCUGAAAUUGAAUCCGUAGUUGUGUGAGUCGCGUUUUCCCGAACGCGUAGCUUUUUACGGAAGUUGAAUCGGAGGUCCGGAAGUCCUCUAACGGCGGAAAAUGCGGAGAACUCUGCAUUCUGCCUUGUGUUAGCGCAGGAACUGCUGUUUUGUCUGCGUUAACCGGUUAACCCAGGGUGUUAACCGGUUAACACUGUUAUAUAUUGUGAAACUGUUGUGUUUUGCCUGCGUUAACCGGUUAACCUAUAGUGUUAACCGGUUAACACUGUUGCGUUCUGCCAAGAAGUGAGUUUUUGCCUGCGUUAACCGGUUAACCUAUGGCGUUAACCGGUUAACACUGUCCCAGUAUGGAAAAAUGGAUAAUUUUUAUGUUGAAAUUGUGAUUUGGCAUAUUGUGGUUAAUUGUGAUGAAUCAAAUUGUUAAGUUGUAAUGUUGUAUGUUGUUUUGUUGAGUUGUAUGUCAUGCUAUUAAUGAUGAAGAUAACAUGAUUACAUGAUGUUGUUGUUGCGAUGUUGAUUAUGAUGCAUGUUUGGUGUGCAUGCAUUCAUGAAAGGCCGAUGCCUAGUGAUGAACGGACUGAGUUCCAAUGAUGUUGUUGACUCCGGCUUAUUGAGAGGCUUGGUUCCUUACGGGGGACUCGGAUUCUAUGGUGAAGAAUCUGGGAGUGGUGAUCCUGUAGUGGUCACAAAAUGGGUAUACCGAGUCGUGUUGAGUCAUGCAUGGGUGUGUGCAUUGCAUUGAUAUGUUGUCUUGUUGAUGUUCAUGAGUAUGUUGAUAUGAUGAGUAUGAUGAGCGGUGUUGGUAUAUGUGGAAUAUAGUUAUGUUUAUAUUUCUGUCGUAUAUUAUUAUUUAAUAAUGUAAUUCUCACCCCUUCUGCAUGUAUUUAUGUUCAUCUAUGAUGAGCAAUGUGCAGAUAAAGAGGAGUAGCUUUUGUUGAGGUUUGAAGAAUAAGUGUAGAGUUAUUCUACGGAGUCGAGUCAAAUGCUCUGGUCAUGUGACACCGGGGUUAUGGGAUUCGAUAGAUAAUUAUAUUUUAUUUACGUUGUUUAUGAGGAUUAAAAUGUUGAGAUGUUUCGUUGAGAUAAUGUUGAAACAUUUUUAUGAAUUAUUAUAUGAUGAAAAAUAAUAAUUAUGUUGUUGUCCGCUGCGAAGUUUUAAUAAAAUAAAUAAUAAUAAUUAUGUUGUGAUGCGAUAA